rnacentral:rRNA from 1 species
GACGAACGCUGGCGGCGUGCCUAACACAUGCAAGUCGAGCGAGCGGCGGACGGGUGAGUAAUGUAUGGGGACUGCCCGAUAGAGGGGGAUAACUACUGGAAACGGUGGCUAAUACCGCAUACUAUCGGAUAACCCAUAUGGGAUUAGCUAGUAGGUGGGGUAAAGGCUCACCUAGGCGACGAUCUCUAGCUGGUCUGAGAGGAUGAUAAGCCCCACUGGGACUGAGACAGGGCCCAGCCUCGUACGGAGGCAGCAGUGGGGAAUAUUGCACAAUGGGCGCAAGCCGGAUGCAGCCAUGCCGCGGUUAUGAAGAAGGCCUUAGGGUUGUAAAGUACUUUCAGCGGGGAGGCGUUACCCGCAGAAGAAGCACCGGCUAACUCCGUGCCAGCAGCCGCGGUAAUUC